rnacentral:misc_RNA from 1 species
UUUCUGUAGGUGAACCUGCGGAAGGAUCAUUAAAAAUGAAGCCGGGAAACCGGUCCUUCUAACCCUUGAUUAUCUUAAUUUGUUGCUUUGGUGGGCCGCGCAAGCACCGGCUUCGGCUGGAUCGUGCCCGCCAGAGGACACAACUCUGUAUCAAAUGUCGUCUGAGUACUAUAAAAUAGUUAAAACUUUCAACAACGGAUCUCUUGGUUCUG